UGCUUUUCCGAUCUAUUUUAUUUUCGUUUCGUUUAAUCCAACUUUCGGAGACGACAUCGGCGUUUAAAUCUGCCGUCGCUUGUGAAUUAGUACUUUUAAACGAACGACCGAAGCGCCGAAAACGGAUUAAGUAUUUGCUCAUUGGUUUAUUCUCGUAAUUAAUUCAUUUAUAUUUUAUAAACACGGUUAAAGAAUAAGGAUUAUUUAUAGAAAUUCAAUUAAAAAUUACUUAAUACUAACUUUAAAUACGAAUUCCAUCGUAAUUUUAACUAAAAUAUACUCUGGUAACAUUGAUGGACGGAGACCGUAUUCUGAAGCAUGGGAUGUUCGUUCGACGGGUCAAAAAAUUCGCCCUUUGACCUCCGACUUCUCCAUGCAAUUUAUGUAUUAGUUACAACGCUUUUCAAUGGCUUAUUUUGCCAGAAUUAAAUUGUCUGCAAACACAUCUAAUACUAAUACACUUAACAGUUAUCUAUACAGGCUGGACACAAAGAAUUCUUUUCCUUAGGCUCUUUGUCUCUUUUCACAAGGUGGUCUGAGUGCAGUCGAUCUUCCACACUUACGUAACAUUUAAGUGGCACAAUGCUUUGUGCCACUUAAACGUUCGUGUCCCGAAUGGCGAGUUGGGCUGUGGGCACGUUUCACUUCUUCCUACGUUUGUCUUGUGUUUCGGUCGACUCGUUCGCAAUUUCUUUGCACGAAACUCUUUUAAAUGCCGUCGUUGCGUUUAUGUGACGUACACGUUAGGGUAAAUUGCUCUAGAACGAAACACUUGUUACGACUCGGGCUCGAAUGCCUUUUCCUCAUGGCUACGUGCGGCGUGUCUUUAAUUUACUGUCGUACAAGUACAAAUUACACGUAAGAGAGUUUCUUCGUUCCGGGUCGGUCGUCUCUACUGCAAAUACAGUUGGAACGUUCUAGCAAUUUCCGGUUGCUAUCCGAAUUCCGAUUCGUCGUGAGUAUAAUCUUGAACUUUUUCUGCGUUAAUCGGCCCCAGAAGACAUCUCGGCACAUCGUUCGAUGGUCCGAUUCGAAUCUUUUAGAUUUAAAAAGGCAGCUGCGGUGAGCAUUUUGCUUUUCUCGCAAGAAUUUAGACAUUAAUUUAAGCUUUUGUUUUAAUCGACUAAUUGCAAAUUUUCUUUUUUUCAGAAUGAAGAUGUUGGAGUGGUUUCGCCGGAGGUUCCGACGGAAGAAUGCGGUGGCGCCGGAGGGAGGGGGUUCCUCGGACGGCUCCGAUGAGACGUUCGAGGACCGUGGGCUCGACUGGGUCUCUGUCGAAUCGAUUAGUUCGGUGUCGUUGGAGACCGUCAAGUGGGAGGCAGAGCGUGGUGACGACCUUCCCCCAGUGCGUGUGGCGUGGGACUCUCCCGGAGGCGGGAGAGUUCUGAGUCCAUUCCACUUGGCCAAGGUCGUCAGGGAUCAGCCGGCCCUAGGCCUUGUUAAGGAAGGCAUAGGGAGUGACGAGUCCUCUUGGACUUCGUCUGUUUUCGCGUGGUCUGCCUCUCAGUCCGCGCUCGCGAGCUCGUCGCCAUCGUCUUUCCGAAGUCGGAACGGGGAAGCAUUGGAGGAGAGCGCCGCCAAAGUCGAGGAACCGCGGUUUUGUUGCUGCGGGUGGCUGCGGUUCCCUCGGCCUAGGCGGUGAUCCUCUUCGAUUUUCCCCAACUUGUCCUUUUCACCCGGAU
rnacentral:lncRNA from 1 species